rnacentral:rRNA from 1 species
UGAAAUAACGCACUAAAGUAAAUAAAAGCAGAGACUACAUCUCGUACCUUUUGCAUCAUGAUCUAGCCAGUAACCUCAAGCAAAGAGACCUCUAGUUUGAACCCCCGAAACCGGACGAGCUACUCCGGGGCAGCCUAUUAUAGGGCCAACCCGUCUCUGUGGCAAAAGAGUGGGAAGACCCCCGAGUAGAGGUGAAAGACCUACCGAGUCAGGUUAUAGCUGGUUGCCCAAGAAAUGAAUAGAAGUUCAGCCCCGCCACGCCCUUACCCACAACAGUUUUACUUAAACAAGGCAUUAAAGGACACCCGCGGGAGUUAGUCAAGGGAGGUACAGCUCCCUUAACAAAGGACACAACCUUAAACGGGAGGCUAAGGAAUAUAUUAAACUAAGGCCCUAGGUUUCAGUGGGCCUAAAAGCAGCCACCUGAACAGAAAGCGUUAAAGCUCAGACCAGUCCAAGCCUAUUAUAACAUUAAAAUCUCCAAAGCCCCCAAUAUUACUGGGCCAUCCUAUGCCCCCAUAGGAGGGACCAUGCUAGAACGAGUAAUAAGAAGAAAGACCUUCUCCCAGCACAUGUGUAAGUCGAAUCGGACACCCCAUCGACAAUUAACGAACCCAACAAAAGAGGGUAGUACACCACCGCCACCCCAGGCCAAGAAAACCAUGUAAUAGAACAUCGUUACCCCCACACAGGAGUGCUUAAAUCAAGGGAAAGACUUAAAGGAUAAAAAGGAACUCGGCAAACCAAAACCCCGCCUGUUUACCAAAAACAUCGCCUCCUGCCACCACUAAUUAUAGGAGGUCCCGCCUGCCCUGUGACCAAAAGUUUAACGGCCGCGGUAUUUUAACCGUGCAAAGGUAGCGCAAUCAAUUGUCUUUUAAAUGGAGACCUGUAUGAAUGGCAUAACGAGGGUUUAACUGUCUCUUUUUCCCGGUCAAUGAAACUGAUCUACCCGUGCAGAAGCGGGUAUUUACACACAAGACGAGAAGACCCUAUGGAGCUUUAGACGCCAACCAACCACGAAAAGCGGCCGCUGACUGGACCCUUAAACAACGUGAUUAUGGCAUAAGCGUCUUCGGUUGGGGCGACCACGGGAGAUAACAAAGCUCCCGAGUGGAUAGGGGGACACCCUAAAACCCAGAGCCACAGCUCUAAGUCACAAAACAUUUGACCAAUAAUGAUCCGGCUUUAUGCCGACCAACGAACCAAGUUACCCUAGGGAUAACAGCGCAAUCCCCUCCCAGAGUCCAUAUCGACGAGGGGGUUUACGACCUCGAUGUUGGAUCAGGACAUCCUAAUGGUGCAGCCGCUAUUAA